GAUCCUGGUGGCAGUGCUGAUCCCGUGUGUGGAUCCCAGUGUCCCCUGGUCCGGGGUGCCCUGGAUCCCCGGUGUGGCUCCCGGUGCUGUGGAUCCCAGUGCCCUGGCUCCCGAUGAUGAUCCCGGUGCGGCUCCUGGUGCUGAUCCCAGUGUGGCCCCGUGCGUGGAUCCCGCACGGCUCCCGGGGAUCCCGGUGUGGAUCCCGGUGCCAUGGCUCCCGAUGAUGAUCCUGGUGUGGAUCCCAGUGUGGAUUCUGCUGAUGCCGGUGUGGAUCCCAAUGUGGCUCCCAAUGAUCCCAGUGCCGGUGUGGAUCCCGGUGUGGCUCCCGGCUUCCCCGGUGCCGGUGUGGCUCCCGGUGUGGAUCCCGGUGCCAUGGCUCCUGGUGUGGAUCCCAGUGUGGUUCCCGGUGUGGAUCCCGGUGCCAUGGCUGCCGAUGAUGAUCCCAGUGUGGAUCCCGGUGCCAUGGCUGCUGCUGAUGAUCCCGGUGUGGAUCCCGGUGCCAUGGCUGCCGCUGAUGAUCCCAGUGUGGAGCCCGGUGCCAUGGCUGCCAAUGAUGAUCCCGGUGUGGAUCCCGGUGCCAUGGCUGCCGAUGAUGAUCCCAGUGUGGAUCCCGGUGCCAUGGCUGCUGCUGAUCCCAGUGUGGAUCCCGGUGCCAUGGCUGCUGCUGAUGAUCCCGGUGUGGAUCCCGGUGCCAUGGCUGCUGCUGAUGAUCCCAGUGUGGAGCCCGGUGCCAUGGCUGCCAAUGAUGAUCCCGGUGUGGAUCCCGGUGCCAUGGCUCCCAGUGUGGAUCUUGGCGUGGUUUCCGGUGCCAUGGCUCCUGAUGAUGAUCCCGGUGUGGAUCCCGGUGCCAUGGCUCCCGAUGAUGAUCCCGGUGUGGAUCCCGGUGCCAUGGCUCCUGAUGAUGAUCCCGGUGUGGAUCCCGGUGCCAUGGCUCCCGAUGAUGAUCCCGGUGUGGAUCCUGGUGCCAUGGCUCCCAGUGUGGAUCCUGGCGUGGAUCCCGGUGCCAUGGCUCCCAGUGUGGAUCCUGGCGUGGAUCCCGGUGCCAUGGCUCCCAGUGUGGAUCCUGGCGUGGUUCCCGGGGUGGUUCCCGGUGUUGCCGGCGCCAGGGGGCUGUAGACGAGGAAGUCAUGGCGGCCGCAGUAGCGCGCAGCGAAGCCUCUCCCGUCCGCCGUGGGGUCGGAAAAGGCCAAAUCCCGGGAGCUGAGCACCGCCCCGAACACGAACGUGCGCCUGGAACAACGCGCCGGGCGGAAAUCAGCAACGGGGAAACAACGGGAAACAAUGGGGAAAAAUAAACACCAGGGAAAAUAAACACCGGGGAAAUAAACAACGGGAAAAUAAACAACGGGGAAAACAAACACCGGGGAAAUAAACAACGGGGAAAUAAACACCGGGGGAAAUAAACAAUGGGAAAAUAAACACCGGGAAAAUAAACACCGGGGAAAUAAACGGGAAAAUAAACAACGGGAAAAUAAACAACGGGAAAAUAAACAACGGGAAAAUAAACAACGGGGAAAAUAAACACCGGGGAAAAUAAACACCGGGAAAAAAACACCGGGAAAAAAAACACCGGGAAAAAUAAACAACGGGAAAAUAAACAACGGGAAAAAUAAACAACGGGAAAAUAAACAACGGGAAAAAUAAACACCGGGGAAAAUAAACACCGGGAAAUAAACACCGGGGAAAUAAACACCGGGGAAAAAAAAACACCGGGAAAAUAAACAACGGGGAAAUAAACACCGGGAAAUAAACACCGGGGAAAUAAACACCGGGGAAAUAAACAACGGGAAAAUAAACGCCGGGGAAAUAAACAACGGGGAAAUAAACAACGGGGAAAUAAAAAACUGGAAAUGGGAAAAAUACAUAACGGGAAAUGGAA
rnacentral:lncRNA from 1 species